rnacentral:rRNA from 1 species
UACGUAGGGGGCAAGCGUUGUCCGGAUUUAUUGGGCGUAAAGAGCGUGUAGGCGGUUUGGUAGGUCCGUUGUGAAAACUCGAGGCUCAACCUCGAGACGCCGAUGGAAACCAUCAGACUAGAGUCCGGAAGAGGAGAGUGGAAUUCCACGUGUAGCGGUGAAAUGCGUAGAGAUGUGGAGGAACACCAGUGGCGAAGGCGACUCUUUGGUCUGUAACUGACGCUGAGGCGCGAAAGCGUGGGGAGCAAACAGG